rnacentral:lncRNA from 1 species
AUUCAGCGUUGACAGGGGUUGUUCUGAAUGUAACAGGAUCCCGUGGCAGAUGUAAACCAGACUGCAGGCAUUUGCCUUAUGUUUCAAGAAAGAGGCCUUGGUUAUGUUACCUUGGAGUAAUGUUCUUAUGGUGUGAGACCUCUGUUGGAUGCAGACACAGCAGCACAUAUUCAGAUCUGUCUGCUCAUCAAGAAGAGAUGUCCUACCCUCAAUCUAGAGAUUAUCAUAGCCAAAAAAACCUCAAGGAAUCUGCAGAUCUCCUCUUAUCCCAUCUUCCCUGUGCAUGAUGAAACAACUGUACAGAGAGAAGGAACCUGUCCUCAAGACAUGGUCAAAUCUGUGGCCACCUGGCUGCCAAAUCAUUGCAAGAGAGCGGCUUCUGUUGCCUUCCCAUGCCUGGUGCUGCACUGCCCGGACCUAGAGGACCUGGAGAGCUCUUGGGAAGGAUCUUUGUUAUGUUGGCAUGUGACGGUGAAGAAUCAACAUUGCCCAGAGCUGAUUUAAAAACACUGAUGGUGAAGUGACACUGGGUGUACUCAGUGGGGUCCAUUGUGGCCACAUACCCCUUUCUCUUCAUCAUCCAAUCUGCCUCAAAAGGUAGGAAAGCACAUAGGGAAACUGAGGCACAAAGCUCUAACACAGAUCCUCCAAGGCACUUAAAUGCAUUCUUCUCUUUAAAAACAAGAGUGGAGCAUUUUUCUGACAUUCUUCAUGGUGUGACUCUGAGUCACCCGUUCAAGGUCAAGAAGGACGAUUGUAGAAAGGUGGUACAGAAAAACUGGAUGAAAGUUUUCUGCAAUUCAUCCCAGAAUAGGAAUUUUUUAGCCAAAAUAUGACCUGGCAGGAGGGAGAGCAGAAGGCUCGGAGGAGCUGCUCACAUCUCAGUGCAUCCCUUCCCCAAGG